rnacentral:rRNA from 1 species
GACGUAGGUGGCGAACGUUAUCCGGAAUUACUGGGCGUAAAGCGCGCGUAGGCGGACCUGCAAGUCGGGGGUGAAAGCCCGAGGCUCAACCUCGGAACUGCCUUCGAUACUGCGGGUCUCGAGUCCGGAAGAGGCGAGUGGAAUUCCUGGUGUAGCGGUGGAAUGCGCAGAUAUCAGGAGGAACACCGGUGGCGAAGGCGGGUCUCUGGGCAGUAACUGACGCUGAGGAGCGAAAGCGUGGGGAGCGAACAGG